GCCGGGGUGGCGGAACUGGUAGACGCACCAGACUCAAAAUCUGGCGUAGGCAACUACGUGUCGGUUCGACUCCGACCCUCGGCACCA
rnacentral:tRNA from 1 species